ACUUAGAUGUCGCGAAAUGGUGACCAUGAAACAGUUCCGCCUCCCCGCGUUCGGCGUUUUUCUUUCCAACAUUUGUUCGCUCCCCCGGAGUACUUGGUUGGGGUUUGGCCCUCGGACCUCAGAACUUCUGGGCGCCCUACCUCCUACCUGUGUGGGACAAGGAGCUGGGCUUCUGUCUCUUCCCUCCCACUGUUGGGCCCACGAAUCCCUCAGGAAACCGUCCAGGGGCGCCCAGCGGACACCAUCUUAGCCCCGUUGGCCUUUGCGUGAAAGGCCUUUAAAAGCCCCACCCACCGUACGCAAGAAAGCGCUCUGGGGCCCGCGGAGCAGGCGGGGCCGGGUUCACAGUUUACGAAGCGCGGGGUCACACUAACGCCCGGGCCGGGCGGGUCGUAAGCCGACCGCAGGCCCUUGGGGUCCCGCAGUGCUGGAGCCGGUGCUUAGCCCAGGCUGGAAGCCGGCACUGCUCGGUGCGUUUCAUUCUCGCCAGAGUGUCCUGGGGAUGCCCCAGUCUCCAUAGGCCUGAACUGAAGCCAUCCUCAAGUCUUGGUUUGAGCCCAGCCUGAGUCCCUGCCUCUGGUCUCACUAGGCCUCCCAGGCCUUCUUAGAAUGGACACCAGCAAGCUCUUCCUAAAGGGCAAAGCUGGCAGAAUGGAAUGAAGCCCACUCUGACCACCAGAGAGACUUUCUCCCUGCCUGAAGUCAGAUUGCAGCUCCUGGCUCGGAAUGGACAAAUGAGAAGAUGAAUGCAGGCCCUGUGGCUGAUACAGUCCAUCCAGUGCCCCUUAAGCAUUGACUGGCACUAAAAGCUGUUGUGACCCAUGCAUGGCUUUGACCCCAGCCUUCUCUCCUCUGAAGGAUGGAGACCCAGGGGAGGCCAGUGUACUAUCUUUCACAGAGCAGGUGCUCCAUAAAUAUUUAUUGGAUGACUAACUCCAGUGUUUAACUCUCAGAAUGAAGUGAAGUUCAGAUUGAGUUUUGUUUUGUUUUCUGGUCCACAGGGAAGUGCACAGGACAGUGUUAGGGACAACCAAUGUAAGCCACUUCUUCCUACCCACUGCUUUAUGAUUCUAGAGUCAGAGCUUUCCGAGCUGGGCCCAGCCAGCUCUCCCCCAGACUGCUCUCUUGGGACCAGCUUCCCACCGCCUCCCCCGUCCCUGGGAGCAGCCAAGACGUCUUAUUCAUGGAUGCUCCUUCUGUGCGGGGCUUUGGUGGUGGCUGCUCUUCCACCACUCUGCCACUCGCUCAGCGGGACCCUGCCAAGUCUCCUCCUCCACACCUGAUGGCAUACCUGGCUGAGUUCUCAGCCUCACUUGGGAUUGCUUUCUUUGGUUCCAAACUGGGUUGCCUUUCCUCUUCUUCUUUGAAGGAACACCCUUGGUGCCUGGACCUUCACCACCAGUCUGCCACCCAACUCCUUUUCUCUCCUGGCCUUCCCCUGGGUACAUCUCCUAGAACACCACCAGGGCCCUUCUGACCUGACCUUUGGCACCACACCACACUUGUCCUCCUUGAGCCUCAGUGGUGCAUUCCCUCCCUCCAUCAGGCUGUGGAUUCCUUGAGGGCAGGCUCUGGGGCUAAGUACAGCUCUGCAGCCUCCCACAUUCUCCACGUUGUCCCAUGGGACCUUGCCCAUGGUAAGCCUUAAUGCCUUUUUAUUGAUUACUCAGAAAUGGAGGCUCAUUAAGAGGUUUUUGAAACUUGGGAUCUCUUCCAUUAAGACAAUGGUACUUGGGAUUUCUUUCACGAAGACAAUGUUUCCCAAGGUGAGUUUUAGGAUAUUUAUAGGUAUUAUAGGAUAAAGAGAUGCAUGAUCAACUAAAAUAUUAUGUACAUUGUAAUUUUCCAAGUUAAAGGAUGUGGGAGUCUAGGAUCUCCAUGCAUGAGGAUCCCCAUGGACCUAGGACCCCAAGACAGGUACUCAGGAUGGCAGAGAACAUCUACUAUACCAAGUAAAGGAUAGAAGGCAACUGGUAAGGGCACUGACUAGGAGAAGGUCAGCAAGUAAAGCCAACCUCACAAAGAUGCACUCUGGACCACAGGGCUCACACAGUUAAUGCCAGAUACGGCUCCCAUUAGGUGAAGCAGGAACCUCCUCACUUCAUGGUCUUAUCUUCCCGCAGCCCCUCCGGGGGGUGGGGUGGGUAGGCUGUCAUCAAUAGCUUAACCAAUAAACCUUCACUCAAAACCACCAUACACCUGAACCCAAUGGCUAGAUUCCAGAUAGAGAAUUUCUAACCAAGCUGAAGAUCUGCUGCUGCUACUAAGUCAUUUCAGUCGUGUCCGACUUUGUGCGACCCCAUGGACGGCAGCCUACCAGGCUCCGCUGUCCCUGGGAUUUUCCAGGCAAGAGUACUGGAGUGGGUUGCCAUUGUCUUCUCUGAAGCUGAAGAUCUAGGAAUUUUCUAAGCCAGAACUUAUAAGCAAAACAAGUGGCUUUCUAUGAGGCUGGACAGGCUACAGCCAAAUAAAUUUGGUCAAGAACCGACUCCCUCUUUUUUUUUCCUAAAACAUCUCAUGGGGUUGAUGUGUCUGGGAACACCUUGGUAAGUGUGUCUUAGAGGGAUUACUCUGUCUUCACAACAGGCAAGAAGCUCCAUACAAUCACCACUGGUGUUUUGUGGUCCUUUUGUUUAUAAAGCACCUCUAGGCAUCUGUCCCAUCAUAGGAAUCUCCCAACCUUUCCCUGGAUGGUAGGACCAACAUGGCCAUUGGUAUAGAUGAUGGAAGGGCCCUAGGAUGGACAGUCCUGAGUCAUGCAUGUGAAAGUUUGCUGUGUCAGUUACUAUUUGUGAGCAAUCUAUCUCCUAAAUGGGAACAUCUAUCUCACAGGUUUACUGAUGGGAUGAAAUGAUAUGUGUUAGGUUACUGUGUAAAAGCCCUUACCCCAAUAUGUGUUUACUGCAUCCAUGCUCUGCAGCUCUCCAUAAAGAAUAGCUACCAUUCGCUGGAUGCCAUGCACAGUUCUUGGCACUUUCUGUAUGCUGUUGAAUGUAAGCUUCACAGUACCAUUAUGGGGUCGGUUAUUAUAAUCCCCAUUUACUAGAUGAGGAAACCGAGGUUCAAAGAUUUGAGGAGAGUCUCCCAAGUUUACAUAUCUACAGUAAUAGAAAACUUAAACUCAGAGCCAAAUGUUUCAUGUUCUUUAAUGUUAAGAGUUAAGAUGCUCAUGUUCCAUGCUCUUUAAUGUUGAGUUAAGAUGCUAGUUCUAAAAAAAAAAAAAAGCCUGUCUUACAUGCAAAAACAAACAAACAAAAGCCGAUGAAAAGGAUACUCAUUCUAGGCUGUGCUGAAUGGGGUUCCAUAGUGUAAAGAUCAACAGUAUUAAUGUUAAUCUUUAAAAUUUAAAGUAGUAAGUUGGUGUUAGAAGAAGGGUGUCCAAAGCUUAGUUCCACAAGUAUUGGUGUAGCAAGUCUCUUUCCUGUCUGUCUUCCAUUUUCCUCCUCUCGAAAAUAGGGGAAAUUGGCAUUAUUUCCCACGGCUGUUGCAAGAAGUAAAUUGACCUAGAAUAUGCAAAAGCAGCUACAACAGUGUCUGGCUCUUGGCAGACACUCAAUAAGUGUAGCUGAAUGAGAUUCUUUGUAGCUUAUAAUCCAGCAAUAACACAUAGGAACAUGCCUGCAGAUACAGUGAUUUUUUUUUUAACACUGAAUAUAAGAGCGGCAGUGAAGACAUUAGUGCUCAUUUCUAUAACUGCGUGUUGACAAUUAGGCAGUGAGACAUGAGGACAGGGCAGAAGCAGGCAGAAUAACCUAGGGGUUAAGAGCACCACCCAACCUGAUCAAAUCCACUUACCAGUUUUGGGCCCUUGGGAAAGUCAUCAGCCUCUCCAUGCCUGUUUUCUCUUCUGUAAAAUGGCAGCGUAGUUGUGCGGAUUAAAAGAGUGACUGUAUGCAAAGCACUGAGAACACUGGCUGGCCCAGGGUGAGCACUAUGUAAGCAGCCCCCUCCUCCCACUGCCAACCAGCCAUCUCUCCCUCCUCUGAUCCUCUGUAACUCUCAUGAGUGCCACAGACAGGUCUGGAUAACUUUCAUGCCUCGGCAUUUUGGGGCCAUAUACAUGUUUUAUCACUCCUACUAGACUGAAGCAAUUUGAAGGCAGGAUGCUGUCAGAUUUGGCCCUCACAUGGACGAAGUGCUCCAUAGUUGAUUGUGGAAUCAGUGAAAAAACUUAGAACACAGCCUUGGGGUCCAGUUCUGAGGGGCACAGGGCCAUAUGCUUCCCCUCCCAGGCAACUCCAUGGGGGGCCUCCUGCUUCUCUGGUCUUGUCCUGGCUACAGAGAUUCCAAGAAGAGCACCCUUGCUCUGAAGGGGUGGACUGAGGUUGUAGGGGUCUGGUUACCCCUCCCCACAACACUUUACCCUUCAGCCAGCACCAGAGACCACAAACCAGCCUGAUAGAAUGGCAGAUUAAGUGCCCAAAGCAUGUGGGUGCGUGAUGAAAGAAAGUUUCCCCUCAGUUCUGUCUGAAAGCCCACCCUUGCUCUCCAGGCAUCCUCUGGGACACAGCUUGAAGAUAAUUAGCAUAGGAAAUCAUUAGCUAUGAGGCUUUCUGAGACUCAGGGUAGGAAAAGCGAUCAAGGGCCCAAGGGACUGAGAAGGGGAAGAGGAAAGAAGGUGAAUUUCUGGAGCCUGGGAAACAGAGGAUGGUUCUCUCUCCCCUCCACAGUCCAGGGAGUGAGGGUUUGGUUCACAAGGUAUCAGAGGGGAAGGACCCCAGAGGUCUUCUGUAUCCAGCCCCCCUAGGGAAAUGACCAGGGUAGGCAGACCACACUGCUCACAUCUGUUUCAGGAUUAUUCCUUACCCCUGUCUUUCCAUCCUCUUCUCAACCCCCUCCACUGAUGUUCAACACAUGGGCCAUGCUUUGGGAACAAUCAGACCUGAUUUCAAAGGAGGACUUCAUCAAUUAUCAUUGGUGUGAUGCUGGCCAAGUUCCCUAACCUCUCUGGGCUCCAACUUCCAAUAUUACUAAUAUUACUAUUCCAACAACACUAAUUUCAUAAAAUUGUUGAAAUUGAUGAGGGCUAGUUACAUUAAGUCUCCAAUGGUGCCUUGUACAAGAUAACUGUUCAGCAAAUUUUUAUUGGGGGAAUACAGUUCCAGGUUCAUUGUACCAUACAAUCCCUUUCCCUCUGUUUUCAUCUAGCUGAAAGCCAGUCAGAGUCACAUCAAGGAAUCAGGCAAUCUGGGGUGGGGGUGGGGGGUGAGGAUGGGAUAGCAGGACAGUCCUUCCUGUUGCCUGGGUGACCUGUCAGGGAGAAUUACAGGCUGAACCGAACCUCUUGUCUGUAUAUGUGUGCUGGACAAGGCAUUUGUCAAUUAGACCGAGCCAUUUCCUGCCCUGAAACCUCUAGCUGAGCUGUAUGUCUAACCUCCUCCCAAGCCCUACUUGCUUUUCUCCAGUGAAGAUACUGGUAUCUGAACAGACAGAUAGUUUGGAUGGUUGAUUGGGGAAAGAAAUAUUGCAAGAGUGAUAUCAAUAACAAUCAAUAACAGUAGCAAACUUUUGAGGGUGGACCAUUUGCCUGGUAGAUUGUAUGCCCGUUACUUCAUUUCAUUAUUGUGACUCUAAGAGAAAGGUGCCUAUUAUCCCGGUUUUAUAGAUAAAGAAACUGAGGCUCAGACAGAUCCAAAAACUUGUGCAUGGUCACAUAGUUAACAAGUAGGAACUUUGGAUUUGAGUUAAUCUGACUUAAGGGCCCAUGUACCAUGAUGAACCCAAUACCUUACUAGAUGCCCUAAAUAAUUUCUAAUCCUCACAACAACUUUAUGAGCUGCAUAUUGCUUUUUAACUACUAAGAAAACAAAUUAGAGAGGAUACAUGAUUUGCCCAAGGUCAUACAGCUAAGAGCUGUGGAGCCAGUGUCCAAAUCUGAAGUUUAUAUAUUUUCUCCAUCCCAUUCUGCCCCAGUGCCUCUUUUCAUCAGAGCUUGGAAGGGGGGACUCUGAAAGGAAGGGAAACUGACCUUGAUAAACAAUAAACACCCAGUAAAUUGCUGAUGCUUUUACACCAGCACCUCAUUUAAUCCCCACAACCACUCUAAUAAGAAGGUAUACUUAGUCCCAAGGAGAAAAUCAAGCCCAGAGAAUGCAGUGACUUGCCCAAGAUCACACAGCUACAAGCAAGCAAAUAAGAAACCAUCUUCACUACUGGCUCUGGAGGGCUUGCUCUUUCUGCUGGAGUGUGCAGUCCACAAUGCCCCCUCUGCUGGCUUGUGACUUCGCUUUGUUCCCAACCCAAGGCUCCCUCUGUGCUUCAGGAGACUCACCUCUAUCACAAGGCUCCUUGUCCUCUGCCUUUCAGUUUGGGUUGGAUGAACAGGAAGCUUCAGGAGGAGAUCAGAAGCCUUCAGAAAGAGUAUGGGGUAUUUGUUCCACUCACUCUCCCUGGGUCCUGAGAACACCCUCUCAGGCCUGUGGUGGGAACAGCUUCCUGCCGUUGCUCUAGCUGCCUCAGUACCUCUUGUCCCACCCCUGCAGAUGGUCCCUUAAUCAUCUCAGCUGUCUUUCUGUUUCCUGCUCGGGGUUGGCCCAGUCUCCUAAUGUCCACCUGAGGCUGCCCCUCUUAGGGCUACUCGGAAGGAAAGCCAGUGGCUUCUCUGUGGGUCAAACAGGUCCAAGGUUUCCCAAACCAAUUAGUGCUGGGCAAGACAGAGGGCAGACCCUGGGCAGGUCCCUGAUGUCAUCCUUGCCUCAGUCUGUCUGGAACUGCAGCUGGGGGGUAGUGCAGACUUUCCACUUCCUCCUCUUCAGGAUGUGAGGUUCAACUACAGGUUCUCUCUUAACUGGAGGGCAAAGGACUUACCCAUCCCUUGCAGCGAGGCAAUGGUGUGAGGACAAGAAUUCCUAGCUUUUAAUUCAGUUGUUAGUUCUCUGCUUUACUCUGCAGCAUUUCCCUUCACAGCUCAAUAAAUAUUUCACUAAUGGUGACUCAAAAGAAUCACCCCUCCAUGCCAUCCAGACGUCUAGCUUAUGACCUAGAAAUUCACUGCUCUUUGACGUAUUCUUCCACUUUGCCUUACCAGGUCCCCAGCCUCUGGCUCUUCUCACAUGGGAGAGCUGGCUGAAAACCAGAUCUGAAAGGGGAGAAGCCCAGGGAGAGGGGAAGAAGCCUGCUCUCUCCCCACUGCUAUGAGUACCAAGAGGAGAUGAAUGUGAUGCUCUAGGAGAUCUGCUGUCUCCUCAGCAAGAGAUGCCUCCAUUGAGUACAUUCCCAUCUGGAAAACAUGGCCUUGGAAUAGUGCUUGGCUGAUCCUGGCACUGGGCUAUGAAAACUAAAUUACUUCUGCCCCAACUCGUUCCUCUCACAUGGAGCAUUUGGAGAAAGAGCUGGGGAGAGGUUGAGGAGGAAGGGGGCCCAGUGUGUGGCAGGGAAAGAAGGGUGGGCUGGAGAUAGAGCAUGUGAAGACAUGGUGGUGUGGGGCUAUGCCCCUGGCACUUCUGGGGACAAAUAGAAGGGCCCACGCGGGACUGAGCAGGGGCUUAGGAGCUGGGCCCGAGAUCAGAGCCCUCUCAGCCCAGCUGCUGUCCACAGAAGACAGUGUUGCUCCAGCACUGCCUCUGCACUUCCCACUCAACAAAGGCUCCUUCCCGUUCACACAUUAGGGUCAUGUCGAGAGGAGGUGGAGAAGGGAGCCGCUUGCAUCUUGGCUAGAAAGUCCUGGAGGGGGGGACAGGGAGCAGCCUGGAGCAGGGCCAGAGAGCAGCAGAGCUCACACAUCUAGCCGGAACAAGCUGGGCGCAUACUUGCAUGCUAUGGUACUUGUCCUCUGACUGAUAUGCCUCUGCCUCCUGUCUGCCUGGAACACUAGCCAUCUUCAAAGAUUCCAUGCUAAUGUUACCACCUUCCAGGAAAAUUACAGGACAAUCCUGUCCUGGACCCCCUUUUUCUUGUCAUAUAGAAUUCUUACUGCAUGAAUUAUAUUGCCUUUCAAUGAUUUGUUUACAUGUUUGUUUCUCUUUUCCCUUGUAGUCAAGGACUACAUUCACUCAUUUUUAUAUAUUCAUUUCUAUAUUCAUUUUUAUAUCCUCUGUAUCCAGAAUAUAUUUUAAUAAAUGUUUAAGUUUUUCAUAAAAGAGAUGGUGGAAAUCUCAAUUCAGCUGAGCACUGAACCUACCUAAAAGAGUUAGAACCUCACCCGCCUCACCCCAUCCCCUGCACCUGACUCCACUGUGCAUUCUCCUGGGCUGCCCACUGCCAUGGAGGGUCACAUGUGUUAGGAGUUGAAUUGUGCUCCCUCCAAAUUCGUACAUUGAAGGACUCUUGGUAGCUAGAAUAUGACUUUAUUUAGAAAUAGGAUCUUUGAAGAUGUAAUUAGUUAAGAUGAGGUCAUUCUGGAGGAGGGUGUGUCCCUAAUCCGAGACAACAGGUGACUCUACACAAGGGAAACAUCUGGACACAAACACACACAUGGGAUGGGGGGCGGAUGCCUUGUGAAGUUGAAGGCAGAGAUCAGUGUGAAGCUUGUUCAUGCCAUGCCACACCAAAGACUGCCGGAAAACUGCCAGGAGCUCAGUCAGGGGCAUGGAAGAGACUCUCCUCCCAGCUUCAGAAGGAACCAACACAGAGGUGGCCCUGAUCUGGGACUUCUAGCCUCCAGAACUGCGAGAAGAUACAUUUCUAUUAUUUAAAAAAAUUCUGUUCUUUAAGCUACUCUGUUUAUUGCAUUUUGUUACCCCAGACCUAGGGAACUAACACUGGAGAUAAAAAUGCUCAGAGAAAACAGCUUUUCAUUUCCAUAGCAAAGCCCUUCAUCUUUCAUACCUAGGUGCCAUUUAAUCCCCCCUAAACCAGUGAGCAGGGGUCUCCUUGGUUAUUAUUCUCCCCAUUUUUAGGUGAAAAAACAAAAACUGAAGCUCAAGAAGGGCAAAGUCAUUUGGCUUUUAGUUUUCCCUGUUUUUUUCUUUUUUUUUUUUUUUUUUUUUACAGACUUCAGUUUUGGUCUCUUUCCACUACUACAUCAGGCUGCCUUAAGGCAGCUUUGAAAUGUCCAAAAUAUUACGUGGUUUGUGAAGUUGUUAGCAUUAUUCACGAAUAACAACAUGUGGUUAGUCUUCUCCAGGAGAGUCCUGCCUUUGAAGCUAAAGCAUGUUGUUCUCACCCAGCUCUGUGGGUCCUAUAGGACCCCUUUCAAGGCCCCCAAGAGCAGGGGACCAUUGUGCAUCUGAGCACCUACCCUGCCCCAAGCUGAGGACCUGGGAAAGACACUCACCCGGGCCACUCUUGCUGUCUCCACCCUGGCCAGAGGAGCGUCCCCGAAGAUUGGCCAUUUCUCUCUUCUGACAAAGGAGUUCUGGGGACCAGCCCAGGCCUGCUUUUAUGCCUCAGGAUCACAUCUCAUCCAGACACCCCCCCAAUCACUGCCUCAGGCCCAGUGACCCUCCACCAAUGGGACUGCAUCAUUUUUUUAAAAAUAACAUUUUUUUUAAAGAUUUAUUUAUUUUGGGCUGUGCUGGGUCUUCACUGAUGUGCAUGGGCUUUCUCUAGUUGCAGUGAGCGGGGGGUGGGGGCUACUCUUCAUUAUGGUGCAUGGGCUUCUCACUGCAGUGGCUUCUUUUGGUGCAAAGCAUGGGCAUGAGAGCUGAAUAAUUGUACUGAACAGGCCCAGGUGCCCCGUGGCACAUGGAAUCUUCUCAGACCAGGGAUCAAACCCAUGUUCCCUGCAUUGGCAGGCAGAUUCUUAACCAUUGGACCCACCAGGGAAGUCCUGGGAUUUUCUUUUUAAAGGUUCCACCACCUACUCUCAUCCUUGAGAGUUUCCUACCCACUCCACUGGCUGCAAAGGAGCCAGAGUGCUCAGUGGCUCCUUCCUUUUUUAUUACCAAGUCAGAUGCAAACCCACUCACUGGCCACACAGCAAAGCCAAUCUAUUUACCCUACAGCUGUGGGGAAGGAAAAUGCAGCGUUUGCUUAUUACUGGACCCUGAGCAAGGAGAUGGGAAUACUAGACCACCUGACCUCCCUCUUGAGAAACCUAUAUGCAGGUCAGGAAACAACAGAACUGGACAUGGAACAACAGACUGGUUCCAAAUAGGAA